GAUGAACGCUGGCGGCGUGCCUAAUACAUGCAAGUCGAGCGGACGGACGAGACGCUCGCCUCGCUGAAGUUACGGGCGGGCGGGUGAGUAAUACGAGGAUAACUUGCCUAUAAGGCUGAGGUAACUUCAGGAAACCGGAGCUAACACCGGAUAAGAUGGUGAACGGCAGGGAUCAUAAGAGAAAGCGGGUCUUGCUGACACUUAUAGGUGGAACCGAGCUGCAUUAGCUAGUUGGUAAGGUAACGGCUUACCAAGGCAACGAUGCGUAGCCGACCUGAGAGGAUGAUCGGCCACACUGGAACUGAGACACGGUCCAGACUCCUACGGGAGGCAGCAGUAGGGAAUAUUGCGCAAUGGGCGAAAGCCUGACGCAGCAACGCCGCGUGUGUGAUGAAGGUCUUCGGAUCGUAAAGCUCUUUUAUUUGGGAAGAACAUAUGUGUGUGUAUCUCUUCCCAUCUUGACGUUACCUACUCAGAAAGCACCGGCUAACUUCGUG
rnacentral:rRNA from 1 species